UACGGGGGGAGCAAACGUUUGUUCGGAAUCACUGGGCGUAAAGCGCACGUAGGCGGCUUUUUAAGUCAGGGUGAAAUCCUGGAGCUCAACUCCAGAACUGCCUUUGAUACUGAGAAGCUUGAGUUCGGGAGAGGUGAGUGGAACUGCGAAGUGUAGAGGUGAAAUUCGUAGAUAUUCGCAAGAACACCAGUGGCGAAGGCGGCUCACUGGCCCGAUACUGACGCUGAGGUGCGAAAGCGUGGGGAGCAAACAGG
rnacentral:rRNA from 1 species